AGUCACUGACAUUAGAUACCCCUGUAGUCCCAGCUGUAAACAAUGUGCGUUAGGUGUGUCGGUAACCACGCGUUACUGAUGCGCCGAAGAGAAAUCGUGAAACGCACCACCUGGGAAGUACGGUCGCAAGGCUGAAACUUAAAGGAAUUGGCGGGGGAGCACCACAACAGGUGGAGCCUGCGGUUUAAUUGGAUUCAACGCCGGACAUCUCACCGGAUAAGACAGCUGAAUGAUUGUCAAUCUGAAGGUUUUACAUGACUAGCUG
rnacentral:rRNA from 1 species